GAUGAACGCUGGCGGCGUGCUUAACACAUGCAAGUCGAGCGAGAAGUUUUGAAAAGAUUCUUCGGAUGAAAUUUAAAAUGGAAAGCGGCGGACGGGUGAGUAACGCGUAGGCAACCUGCCCCAUACAAAGGGAUAGCAUUUGGAAACGAAUAUUAAUACCUUAUGAAACUUAACUAGUGCAUGCUAGGUAGGUCAAAGAUUUAUCGGUAUGGGAUGGGCCUGCGUCUGAUUAGCUAGUUGGUGAGGUAACGGCUCACCAAGGCGACGAUCAGUAGCCGACCUGAGAGGGUGAACGGCCACAUUGGAACUGAGACACGGUCCAAACUCCUACGGGAGGCAGCAGUGGGGAAUAUUGCACAAUGGGGGAAACCCUGAUGCAGCAACGCCGCGUGAACGAUGAAGGCCUUUGGGUCGUAAAGUUCUGUCCUAGGUGAUGAAAACUGACAGUAACCUAGGAGAAAGCCCCGGCUAACUCCGUG
rnacentral:rRNA from 1 species